GCCAACCCAGUGUUCAGACUACCUGUUCAGGAGGCUGUCAAUGUGUACAGUAGUCUGCACAUUGGUUAGGC
ensembl:miRNA